rnacentral:rRNA from 1 species
UUACUCCCGGCCAUACGUCGGUGGCAUACGUUGGCCGGAAUUAUUGGCCGGAAUUAUUGCGCAUAAAGCUAUCUCAGUCUGGUUCUUAAGCCUGAUGCUCAACCCCCCGGCUCAUCCGGGACAGUGUCAUUUUGAAACUGGGAAACUUAGAGUGCUAUACAACAUAGUGGGAUUCCACUGCGUACAGAUGUAAUACGAACACCAUGUGGCAAGAACACCCUUUGUGGAAUGCUAACUCUCUGGUCAGGCUACUGACGCUUGAGGCAGCAAACCGGUGUUGGGAUCCCCUGGUAUUCCACUCCGCAACGCCCUGAAUUGGGUUGUAGAGUGCUGUGCUCGACUGCUGUUGGUACGUGGUGGACAGUGAGACCGGGGCUUCCCCUUCGGGAUAGAGAUCCCAACGGUCUCCUACAGUUCUGGACCAUUCCAAGAAGCGCAACGAAGCUUAAUUUGGUGUACGAGGUGGCGAACACGCCCGGGGGCAGUUAAGGAAACUCAAAGUGAGAACGCUGGCAUGAGGGGUCCGCCUCACGAAUAACGCAAACGACGUCGUGAUUUCCCGACUUUGGGAGAUUGUGAAUCGUGAGUAGCAAAUGCCGCACCUGAUGGUCCCAUAGAUUAGGACAAGCGAGGGGUGCGAAAGCGCGGAGUCGCAGUCAAUGUCUGGUCUCUCAGCGGAAGCGGUGACCACAAGGAGGUGUAGAGAUGCGUAAAGUGGCGAUGUGCACCUUAUGGUGAGAGGAGAAGACGUGAGUUCAAGGUGUCAAAGGUUACUGGGAG